UACGGAGGGUGCAAGCGUUAUCCGGAAUUACUGGGCGUAAAGCGCACGCAGGCGGCCGCUUAAGUCUGACGUGAAAGCUCCUGGCUUAACUGGGAGAGGUCGUUGGAGACUGGGUGGCUUGAGGCGAUGAGAGGGGUGUGGAAUUCCCGGUGUAGUGGUGGAAUGCGUAGAUAUCGGGAGGAACACCAGUGGCGAAGGCGGCACCCUGGCAUCGGCCUGACGCUGAUGUGCGAAAGCGUGGGGAGCGAACGGG
rnacentral:rRNA from 1 species